rnacentral:rRNA from 1 species
UACGGAGGGUGCAAGCGUUAUCCGGAUUUAUUGGGUUUAAAGGGUCCGUAGGCGGACCUAUAAGUCAGUGGUGAAAUCCUGCAGCUCAACUGUAGAACUGCCAUUGAUACUGUAGGUCUUGAAUUCGGUUGAAGUGGGCGGAAUAUGGCAUGUAGCGGUGAAAUGCUUAGAUAUGCCAUAGAACACCGAUUGCGUAGGCAGCUCACUAAGCCUGGAUUGACGCUGAGGGACGAAAGCGUGGGGAGCGAACAGG